UGGUAACGGGGAUAUCCUGUCGAAGCCAGGA
rnacentral:piRNA from 2 species